rnacentral:lncRNA from 1 species
GUCAAAUUCCCAAUUAUUAAUAGGAAUUAUAGAAUUAUAAGUAAAUUCCAUGCUUUUCCUUUCUUAACACAGGAGCUAUGCCUUCAAAUAGAUGGAGACCUAGCUUCUUUUGAAAACAGUGAUCAGUUAGAAUAUGCUUAUAAACUAAUUCCAAUCGGAUAUUCCUGGGUUGACAGGGAUUAUUAGGUAAUGUACCACAUUCCUCGUCCUUGUGUUCUUUACUAUUUAUUUUGGUUAUUCAAGCAAAUCAGCUACUACUAACUACUAGCUAAGUAAAUACUUAUACUGAUGUUGACUAUUACCUUUUCUCCUUUGUAGUCCAGAUUUAUCCAGGAGAACUGGGUGCCAGGUGAGAAGCCAGGUCAGACAAAUGGUAACUGCUUGACAUUGGUGAAAUACACUGAGGGAAAAGGCUUUGUUGACACUUCUAACUCAGAAAACACUUCCAAUAUUCUCUGCGAGGUCGAUGCUACCUACUUAAGAGUCCAUUCAGAGAACGCAAAGGGAAAAUCUAAUAUUUUCUUUUUUUUCUUUCUUUUUUGUAUUAUUUCUACACUAUGAAGUGGAAAUAACACACUGAAAUUGUGAACAUUAUUAUAAUUCCCUUUUUGAGUAAGAGCAGUUUGGGUUUUUAAUAUACCAAUAUUGUGAUACCAGUAAAUUGUUAUUUGGAAUAUCUAAUUAAUACGUUG